AGAACGAACGCUGGCGGCAGGCUUAACACAUGCAAGUCGAACGCUCGUAGCAAUACGGGAGUGGCAGACGGGUGAGUAACGCGUGGGAACGUACCCUCCGGUUCGGAAUAGCUCAGGGAAACUUGGAUUAAUACCGGAUACGGCUGAGAGGCGAAAGAUUUAUCGCCGGAGGAUUGGCCCGCGUUCGAUUAGCUUGUUGGUGAGGUAAUGGCUCACCAAGGCGAUGAUCGAUAGCUGGUCUGAGAGGAUGAUCAGCCACAUUGGGACUGAGACACGGCCCAAACUCCUACGGGAGGCAGCAGUGGGGAAUAUUGGACAAUGGGCGCAAGCCUGAUCCAGCCAUGCCGCGUGAGUGAUGACGGCCUUAGGGUUGUAAAGCUCUUUCGCUCGGGACGAUAAUGACGGUACCGAGAUAAGAAGCCCGGCUAACUUCGCGCCAGCAGCCGC
rnacentral:rRNA from 1 species